rnacentral:rRNA from 1 species
CACGUAGGGGGCAAGCGUUGUCCGGAUUUAUUGGGCGUAAAGAGCUCGUAGGCUGUUCGAUAAGUCGGGUGUGAAACCUCCAGGCUCAACCUGGAGACGCCACCCGAUACUGUCAUGACUAGAGUCCGGUAGGGGAGCGUGGAAUUCCUGGUGUAGCGGUGAAAUGCGCAGAUAUCAGAAGGAACGCCGGUGGCGAAAGCGACGGACUGGACCUCUUCUGACGCUGAGGCGCGAAAGCUAGGGGAGCAAACGGG